UGCUGGUUUCACUUCCUCUUUUAUAGGCUGAAGACAAAUGUACUGAUCAAAACGACAACAUAUAAUUUAGUGCAACCUGCAAGAAGAUUCACAUGCUUUAGUUUUGAUGUACACAAAUGGACAAUAAAAGGUUUUGUAAUGAAAUUUGGACUGCCUCAACAACACGUGACCAUGGGAUCUGUUCUCAGAUCGAGCAGGUAAAUUGGGGAAUGUAGCGUGAAUCGUGAUGAUAUGCAAAGAGGAAUGCCAUAUAGGGAUGCGAAAAUGCAAUGGGCACCAUACAGUCCACCAAAUACAAAUAAAUUUACUCCCCUCUCAUACGGGUAACAUUAGUGGAACCCAAUUGAUGCGAUAGCUGUGAGAUGGAAGUGAAUUUUUGGGUUGGUUUUUUUGGCUGCAGCAAUUAAGAACGCUAGUAUCACAAUAAUUUAUGUUAGGAAUGCAAUAAUUUACACCACUUUUGCCACAAAACAGGUAUAAAUUGUUGUGGUUCUAGCAUUGUUUAGCAAGAAUACUAUGGAUAGAAUUAUUUUUACGUUCAAUUUCACAAUUUGUUGACUU